GACGAACACUGGCGGCGUGCUUAACACAUGCAAGUCGAACGGUAAGGCCCUUCGGGGUACACGAGUGGCGAACGGGUGAGUAACACGUGGGUGAUCUGCCCUGCACUUCGGGAUAAGCCUGGGAAACUGGGUCCAAUACCGGAUAGGACCACUGCCUGCAUGGGAGGUGGUGGAAAGCUUUUGCGGUGUGGGAUGGGCCCGCGGCCUCUCAGCUUGUUGGUGGGGUGAUGGGCUACCAAGGCGGCGACGGGUAGCCGGCCUGAGAGGGUGACCGGCCACACUGGGACUGAGAUACGGCCCAGACUCCUACGGGAGGCAGCAGUGGGGAAUAUUGCACAAUGGGCGCAAGCCUGAUGCAGCGAAGCCGCGUGAGGGAUGACGGCCUUCGGGUUGUAAACCUCUUUCAGCACCGACGAAGCGCAAGUGACGGUAGGUGCAGAAGAAGGACCGGCCAACUACGUGCCAGCAGCCGCCGUAA
rnacentral:rRNA from 1 species